rnacentral:rRNA from 1 species
AUUAAGCCAUGCAUGUCUAAGUAUAAACAACUUUAUACUGUGAAACUGCGAACGGCUCAUUAUAUCAGCAAUAAUUUAUUUGAUGGUUCCUUACUACACGGAUAACUGUAGUAAUUCUAGAGCUAAUACGUGCGUAAAAUCCCGACUCUUGCGGGGAGGGAUGUAUUUAUUAGAUAAAAAGCCAGCGCGGGUUCUGCCCGGUUUUGUGGUGAAUCAUAGUAACUUUUCGAAUCGCAUGGCUUCACGCCGGCGAUAGUUCAUUCAAAUUUCUGCCCUAUCAGCUUUCGACGGUAGUGUAGUGGACUACCGUGGCAUUAACGGGUAACGGAGAAUUAGGGUUCGAUUCCGGAGAGGGAGCCUGAGAAACGGCUACCACAUCCAAGGAAGGCAGCAGGCGCGCAAAUUACCCAAUUCUGACACAGAGAGGUAGUGACAAAAAAUAACAAUACCUGGCUUCUUUAGGUCGGGUAAUUGCAUGAGUACAAUUUA